GACGAGCGCUGGCGGCGUGCUUAACACAUGCAAGUCGAACGGUGACCCUCGGAGCUUGCUUCGGGGUGAACAGUGGCGAACGGGUGAGUAACACGUGAGUAACCUGCCCCUGACUCUGGAAUAAGCGCUGGAAACGGCGUCUAAUACCGGAUAUGACACACCCUCGCAUGGGGAGUGUGUGGAAAGUUUUUCGGUCUGGGAUGGACUCGCGGCCUAUCAGCUUGUUGGUGAGGUAACGGCUCACCAAGGCGAUGACGGGUAGCCGGCCUGAGAGCGCGACCGGCCACACUGGGACUGAGACACGGCCCAGACUCCUACGGGAGGCGGCAGUGGGGAAUAUUGCACAAUGGGCGAAAGCCUGAUGCAGCGACGCCGCGUGAGGGAUGACGGCCUUCGGGUUGUAAACCUCUUUCAGCAGGGAAGAAGCGAAAGUGACGGUACCUGCAGAAGAAGCACCGGCUAACUACGUGCCAGCAGCCGCGGUAAGAC
rnacentral:rRNA from 1 species